GAGAACGUGGUGUAAGUGGAUAACAUCUCAGAUUACGAAUCUGAAGAUUGUAGGUUCAAGUCCUACCGUUCUCG
rnacentral:tRNA from 5 species